AGAGAAAGACAUAGUGGUAAUGGGGUUGGCUUGAAACCARUUAUAGGGGGUUCAAUUCCUUCCUUUCUUA
rnacentral:tRNA from 1 species